AUUGAACGCUGGCGGCAGGCUUAACACAUGCAAGUCGAGCGGGGGAAGGUAGCUUGCUACCGGACCUAGCGGCGGACGGGUGAGUAAUGCUUAGGAAUCUGCCUAUUAGUGGGGGACAACAUCUCGAAAGGGAUGCUAAUACCGCAUACGUCCUACGGGAGAAAGCAGGGGAUCUUCGGACCUUGCGCUAAUAGAUGAGCCUAAGUCGGAUUAGCUAGUUGGUGGGGUAAAGGCCUACCAAGGCGACGAUCUGUAGCGGGUCUGAGAGGAUGAUCCGCCACACUGGGACUGAGACACGGCCCAGACUCCUACGGGAGGCAGCAGUGGGGAAUAUUGGACAAUGGGGGGAACCCUGAUCCAGCCAUGCCGCGUGUGUGAAGAAGGCCUUAUAGUUGUAAAGCACUUUAAGCGAGGAGGAGGCUACUUUAGUUAAUACCUAGAGAUAGUGGACGUUACUCGCAGAAUAAGCACCGGCUAACUCUGUGCCAGCAGCCGCGGUAAUACAGAGGGUGCGAGCGUUAAUCGGAUUUACUGGGCGUAAAGCGUGCGUAGGCGGCUUAUUAAGUCGGAUGUGAAAUCCCCGAGCUUAACUUG
rnacentral:rRNA from 1 species